GACGAACGCUGGCGGCGUGCCUAAUACAUGCAAGUAGAACGCUGAAGGAGGAGCUUGUUUCUCCGGAUGAGUUGCGAACGGGUGAGUAACGCGUAGGUAACCUGCCUGGUAGCGGGGGAUAACUAUUGGAAACGAUAGCUAAUACCGCAUAACAGUAGAUAUUGCAUGAUAUCUGCUUGAAAGGUGCAAUUGCAUCACUACCAGAUGGACCUGCGUUGUAUUAGCUAGUUGGUGAGGUAACGGCUCACCAAGGCGACGAUACAUAGCCGACCUGAGAGGGGGAUCGGCCACACUGGGACUGAGACACGGCCCAGACUCCUACGGGAGGCAGCAGUAGGGAAUCUUCGGCAAUGGACGGAAGUCUGACCGAGCAACGCCGCGUGAGUGAAGAAGGUUUUCGGAUCGUAAAGCUCUGUUGUAAGAGAAGAACGAGUGUGAGAGUGGAAAGUUCACACUGUGACGGUAUCUUACCAGAAAGGGACGGCUAACUACGUG
rnacentral:rRNA from 1 species